rnacentral:lncRNA from 1 species
GUUUUUCACUAGAUCUUCAUCAACCUUGAAUUGUUGUGUAGCAGGGUCCAACGGGUAUUCUAUAAGAUAGGGGUGAUUACAGCAUUUCCUCAGUAACAUCAUAAUAUUCUGUAGCUUAAGGUUCACUUCUGAAUCCAUGGGCAUGCUCACUUCUACCACUGGCCUCUCUUUUACUACUUCCUCUUGUGUUCUGUUGAUCAACUUUUCCAAGUCAUCAGGUGAACCAUUGUGUUCUUCACAAUAAUCAACCAGUUUUCGACUACGGCGUUUCGGUCGGCCUGUUGGACUCAGUUCAACUACUUCUUCC